rnacentral:rRNA from 1 species
GAUGAACGCUGGCGGCGUGCCUAAUACAUGCAAGUCGAGCGAACAGACGAGGAGCUUGCUCCUCUGACGUUAGCGGCGGACGGGUGAGUAACACGUGGAUAACCUACCUAUAAGACUGGGAUAACUUCGGGAAACCGGAGCUAAUAGCGGAUAAUAUAUUGAACCGCAUGGUUCAAUAGUGAAAGACGGUUUUGCUGUCACUUAUAGAUGGAUCCGCGCCGCAUUAGCUAGUUGGUAAGGUAACGGCUUACCAAGGCAACGAUGCGUAGCCGACCUGAGAGGGUGAUCGGCCACACUGGAACUGAGACACGGUCCAGACUCCUACGGGAGGCAGCAGUAGGGAAUCUUCCGCAAUGGGCGAAAGCCUGACGGAGCAACGCCGCGUGAGUGAUGAAGGUCUUCGGAUCGUAAAACUCUGUUAUUAGGGAAGAACAAAUGUGUAAGUAACUAUGCACGUCUUGACGGUACCUAAUCAGAAAGCCACGGCUAACUACGUG